CUUCCUCGUGUAAGGAAAGCGAGAGGAGUCAAGUGGCGCAUUCAAGUGCGCUCAGUUUGGUCGAGAACCGAUUCUCCGGUCGUAAUCCGAGUCAUAAAAACCUCGAAAUCUUUGGUCGAAAAACGAUUUGGUCGAGAACAGAGACGUUGGAAAAUCGAGAUUUGACAGUAAGU